CCCACAUGCGAAUACACAUACAUGCGCGAACGCACACACACACUUUCGUCACUGGACUGGAUGAGAAAACACUUCCUCUCGUUACUGGUCUCCUUCACAAACAACACAGAUGCCUGUUAUACAUUGCAGUUACCGACAACGGGUGCAUUAGGCUCUACUAUCUCCCACCCAUCCGGUGUAUAGCAUAUUUUUUUAUCGUAAGGGAAACACGCCAGUGACGGUUUUUACGAGUUCGGUCUGGGAGAGCUACCGGGCGGUGUGCAUCAAUUAUCAACUGUGUUUAUUGUGAUUGACGUGCUUUUUGACGAUCUGGGGCGAAAACUCAGGACCAAGGCGGCCGGGACAAACCUUUACAUGCAAAG